rnacentral:rRNA from 1 species
UACGAAGGGGGCUAGCGUUGCUCGGAAUCACUGGGCGUAAAGCGCACGUAGGCGGCUUUCUAAGUCAGGGGUGAAAUCCCGGAGCUCAACUUCGGAACUGCCCUUGAUACAGCACGUCUUGAGUCCGGAAGAGGUGGGUGGAAUUCCUAGUGUAGAGGUGAAAUUCGUAGAUAUUAGGAAGAACACGGUGGCGAAGGCGGCCCACUGGUCCGGUACUGACGCUGAGGUGCGAAAGCGUGGGGAGCAAACAGG